rfam:Clostridium puniceum strain DSM 2619 CLPTN_contig000016, whole genome shotgun sequence.
AUAAUGAUACUCCUGCCUUGAACGUCUGCACGGCAUUGGGCGGUACACCCAUAAGUAUGGGAUAAGGUGAAAGUCCUGUGG